CAAAACAUAUUGCUCUGGAAUUCAGUCCUCCUAAAAAAAAAAAUUAAUAAUCCUUUGGUUUCACAAAGGCCACAUUCUUGCAAGUUAAAGCUGGGGCAGGUUUGUCUGCAUUGCAACUGAGCAGCUCUCACCAGGCUGCUAGGCAGAACUGUAGACGCUGCCCAACUGUGGUAGUGUGCUAGCCUGAACACUUCUGGGAGGAAUGCCAUUAAUUCGGCACAGGGUCCCAGAUUCACAUAUUAGUAUAUGAGUCCUGUUUCAGGGAUGCUCAAAGUAUCUGAAAAUCUGUGUUAUUAACUAAUUUGCCUCAGCCUGGAUUAGGUACUUCUUGUACUAGUUUCUGCAAAAUUUUCAGGCCUAGACGUACCACAAGAGUGAACCAGUGGAUCUGUAUCACAAGGGGAAAAAAAUACUUUGUCAAAAACAGUUUUUCCUCCAGGAUAACCUAGUCAACUGUCCUGUUCAUAGUAAAAGAAAUCACAGAACAGGGAGAAAAAAACCCUUCACCCAGGGAAAACAAGCUCCAAACACAAUCCUCUAGAUGAAGACUUCCGAUACAAAGUGGCAACAGAAAUACCUGAAAGAAAAAACAUCACACAUUCUGCAGAAUUUUUAAAGGAUCGGUAUUUUACUGUUUCUUGAAAACUGAACACAGUUAUUCAGGCUACAAUUAGAAGCUGAGAGGAACUUCAGAAGAGACUGUGUAAACUAGCUGAAUGGACCAUACCAUGGCAAACACAUCCAGUAAUAACAGAUAAAAAGUAAAGUACACAGGAGAAAAACUUUAUGGUUUGGAGCUAAAAUGUUUCCAAUUAAUAGUACCAGUUCUAAAGGAAUCUGCUAUUUCACUGCGCCCCAGUGAAGACCUUUAUUCAAUGAACAAGUGCUGGAAGGGGGAAAAGGAAGGGAAGGUGAUGUUGAAGUCCAUUAACAAACUGGAAGUGGAACAAUACAAAAAAAUACUGAAAUGAUUCUGUAGAAAUCAGUAGUGCAGACUCAGAUGGAAUUUUUUAUGCCAUUACCAAAUAUUCUACCUCAAACAAGUAAAAUUAUUUCCUAAUAAUAUUAUUUCAUAAAAAGAAUAAUAUAGGGAUUCUAAAAGAUGUGAGUACCUCUCCUCUGUGGGAAAAUGUUAUAACUGGUAAUAACAUAGAAAAUGAUGAAGGCACAAAUCCUGGGAACUUGCGCUGUCUCAUAAAGGAAGAUCAUUCAACUGAAAUAACAGAUGGGAAAUUGAGUAUCAAGCAAAAUAUUUUCCCAUUCAUACUUAAAAUAAACUGUGACUUGUGAUGGUACAAGGAGCCUCUGUGACAAGAACUUAGCAAGAUUUGGCCAUUUCUUCAGCUCUCACAAAUACCUGGAAUGCUGCCAAUUGAUGAUAACACCUUUCCAAAGAUACAGUAACCGUCACAUUUUUGGGUUUAAACAACCUCUAACAGUCUUACUAUCCGAGGUACCUUCACACUGACCUACUGCCCGCUUCAUAACCUUCCUCUAAUACAUUUAGUACCUAUAAAAGACAGGAUAUGCCGCUAGCUCACUGCCAUAAUCCCAGCAACUGGUAGAACCUUAGCAAUUCCGUCCCUUCCCUACUCCUCAUCAUUCUCGGCACUAUACUGUCCUCUGGUGGAUGCCAGGAAAAAAAAAACUGUAUAUAAAUUGAGUGGCCCAAAAGCUAAGGAAAUCACACUCUGGAAAUUUGACAGGAACUCAGAGAAGGUACUCAGAAAGCCUGCUUCUGAAAGUGCUCCAGAUCACUCAAGACAACAGGGUAGGAGAAUAUUUUACUGAUGACUCACUGCUCACUAAGCAUUUUACAGAUAUUUCAGCUCACAGCACUCCCUUGAGAUACAUACUCUCCUUAUCAGUAUGUGUUAGGAUUUCCUGUAACAAUAGUCUCUAAAAUAUUUUGUACACAGCAGCCCCAUGUUCUAUAUGAGGAAAAGCAAGAAUAGGCCAGUCUGUAAUCUUUUACUACAGCAAACAACACAGACUAAAGCACAUAAAUUAAACUGCAACCAUUCUUGGAAGUACAAAUGUAAUAUUUUGUUGGGUUUUUUUAUUCUGCUGCACAUUUUAAUUAUCCCCAAAGCCAAAUCACUUGUUUUUAGAAGUUCUCUUCAGUGAGAUGUUUUGUGGCAUGUUGCCACAAAUACUGGAAUUGGCAAAACUUACAGAGCAGCAGACUGAGGUUGGGAACAGAACAAAAGGCUGCAAGCCAGGAAGGGCAGGAACUAGUUUUCCUGCUGCAGAAAAUAUAACAGGGAUUUUCACCCUUACAGGCUAGUGCUGGAAUUCACUCAGGAAAAUUAAGGACACACCCAGAAAGAGUGGAGUAAAACAGGACACGUAUUACAGAUUCCGAUUUUGACUGCUUACUAGUGUCCCAAGUAAUCAAUGACUACUGAAAGGACUGAGGAACCAGAACUGGUCCUACAGCACUGCCCUUGGAGAGGCUUACUGUUGAACUGGGUCAUAUGAUUAACACCAUUCUCCUUUGCAUGCAGUGGUAAAUUUAUAAUACAUUUGUGUAAUUUGACAUAAUGUGAUCUCUCCAGGGUGGAGGGAAAAGUCCUCAUUUGAGAAAUUCAGUUGCCAGCUGUUGAAUUAUACUUUGAAAAUAAAGAAGUCUUCCACAACACAAAACAGAGUGGGAAAACCUCCGUUUAGGCAGCUGAUGAGACUUGGGUCUGAGCCGCGAAGUGGAGCUGGGGGAUACAGCUCCUGUCCAUACAGAGACAUAAAUCCCUCACCUCUGGAAGACAUCAGUGCUUUCACAAGCUGGCUUUACAGAUUUCAAAGAAAACUGUAGAAAGGUAUGAAUCACUGAUUGAGACAUUACCUUCGCUCCCUCCCAUGCUUUCCUCAUUUGGAAGGAUGACGAGAGUUGCAUCCAACACUCACCAGUUCUUUUGGCUCUACACAGACAUUGCUAUUUCACAAAAUCUUUAGAAAAUUCAUAUUUCUCUAUCCUUUUGACAAAACCAGCUAAAAACAGCUUAAAAAUACUGCCAACUGACAGAGGAAAAUAAUUCUAGUGAUUAAAUCAUUAACCAGAUCUUAAGGAAACCAAGCAGAAACUAAGGUAUCACUAUCAAUUUAACAUCAAAAUGGAGCUGCCAUGUUCUACUCUUCCAGUCUGCUAUACUGAAGAUCCUCUUAUUAAAUUUCUAUUCUCCAUGUUUUUCCUAAAGGAGUGAGAAAGGCUGAGUUUCUCAAGUGCUUCACUAAAUAGAUACGCAUUUCAUAAGAAAUCUUCCAAGGUAAAGAGUGAAAGAACAAGAGAGAAUGGCCUCAAGGUGCACCAGGGAAGGUUCAGGUUGGAUAUAAGGAAAAACUCCUUCUCUCAAAGAGCAGUGAGGUGCUGGAGCGGGCUGGCUGCCCAGGGAAGCGGUGGUGUCACUGUCCCUGCAGUUGUUGAAGAACCGUGUGGAUGUGUUACACUGGGCCAUGGUUUGUAGGGAUGGAUUGGGGGUUGGAUUAAAUGAUGUUAAAGGUCUUUUCCCGCCUUAAUGAUUCGAAGAUACUGCAAGAACGCUGCCAGCAGACUAACGCGGCCAGCGAGAAGGAUCGCCUUCAACAACGCUAGAACAACACAGAGAACCUGACGUCCCUGCGAUGCUGAUGCCUGACAGAGUGAGAGCCCCGAGCAAAGCAGGCGCUUUGGGGCACAAGAGGACGGCAGCAAAACAGCGCGAGCACCGUCCCCCGCCGCCCCGCCGCCCGCGGGCGGCACUGCGCCUGCGCGGUAGCCCCCGGCACGAGGCCCCCCCCGCCCCUUCUCUCCGGGCGUUUCCAUCCUGCGGGGGAAGGGUGUUGUCCGCGCCUCUCCUCCCCAGCUCUUGCGGGCCGUCUUGCCCGGCCCUCCACCCUCCAGCCCAGGGAAGCAGCAGCGGGCCUACCGCCUCCUGCUGAUGCAAGGCCGCUGCUCACCCUCCGCACUGCCAUAGGGCCGGCGCACCUCCCCCCUACAUGGCGGGGGCGGUGGUUUGCCAUCCCGGCUCACUCUGGGAGCUGGAAGGGCUGCGCUUUUUCUUCCGCAGCGCGUGAGGUAGCGGUGGGUGUACGCUGAAGGAGUUGCGCGGGGCGGUCGGUGGUUGCCGAUGGGGCCUGAGAACGAGGCGAGGCGGGGCCUGCCGGGCGGCUGGACUGCCCAUGAGGCAGAGGUCGGGCUGCAGCGCGGGGAGGGGUCACGGGCAGGAAAGGCAGCUGGCCUGCCUCGCCCUGCAGCCGCGUGCUGCCCACCCUGGCCCAGUGCUUUGGUCACCGCCCCUUAGUCUGUUCAAAACAGAAGGAGAACCUUUUGGAAGACAGUAAUUUCCACUCGAUAUCGUUUUGUGCUGAACUCCAUUGGGCAGGCUUCUGCCGUGUGGCCAGCGCUGCAGUGUCGAGUGCGCAGUAUCCACUGAGAGACUCCUUUUAAAUGAGGACUUAUUUACUGAUGUGGGGAACUUGAGUGAGACUGUUGCACACAGCUGCCCCUUUGCUUGUUCUUCGGAGAUGUUAGUGGGUUUUCCAUCCACAUAAUCCCUGGUUGCUGUGGUAGGCUGCAGGAAGUGGCGUGACAGAGCAGAGAAUGAUGGGGGCUUAAUGGGGGUAAGGGAGGCUGAGUGCCGUCUUGUGGGAAUCGAAUGUUGAUUCUGUAUUAGAACAAGAUUAAAAUUUUCUUGAUUUCAUGGCCUCUGCUGCCAUUUGGGUCCAUUAUCAAAAUCUAGCUAGUAACAAUUUAUGUAUAGUCAGCAUGAAAAUAUAUGUUGUACUUUGUCACACACAUUGCAAUAAUAUCCUGCACAAAUUAAAAGGACAAGUCAUGACAUGCCUUAGAGAGGGCCUGAAGAAGGUAUUGAGGAAGGCCUGGCACUUCUCCAACCCCCUAUGGUGCUCUUUGUUUAACAAAGGAAGCGUCCUUCGGACAGAAUGGAAGAACCUUUGGAGAAAAUCACCCUAUCAACAUGAUAAGAAGAGUACCCAGACAUCUUGGAAACAGCAGGAUGGCGACUGACUGGCACAAGAUAGAACAAGUGUCAGAAUUGCAUUUGUGCAGUAGCCAUGGGAGACCUUCCUGGCAGUUCACAAGCUCACACAGAUAGACAUGUGGUGAAAGCCUCUAAGCAUGAGAAGGGUCUGUACGAAAAGGUAACAGAGUACUGACACCCCAGCUCUCCUGCAGCUUUAUGAGGAAGAAUUGUUAGAACCACCCUGAAACCAGUGGCAGUGCAAGACUACUCCGUAAGAAACAAAAAGCUGUUAAGGACUUGGGAAUGUUAAGCCUUAAAAUCCUUGUAGUAACGCAAAUUCUUUCGAACUAUAUUAAGACAGUGUUUAUGUAGACAAAAAAGAAUAAAGACUUAUGUUUCUGUUCUUAGAA